rfam:Oryza sativa Japonica Group DNA, chromosome 12, cultivar: Nipponbare, complete sequence.
AAAAAGGCAAACCCUAGGUUUUCGUGUCCAACUUUGAUUGUCCGUCUUAUAUGAAAUUUUUUUAUAAUUCGUAUUUUUAUUGUUGUCAGAUGAUAAAACAUGAUUAAUAUUUUAUGCGUGACUUGUCUUUUUAUUUUUUUUUCAUAAUUUUUUCAAAUAAGACGGACGGUCAAAUGUUGAGCACGGAAACCAGGGUUUGUCUUUUU